ACCCAGAUUGGCAGUGACAGCUCCCCUCUGUUCUUCUGUAAUCUACUUUAAUCACUUCUGCAAUUGUGGGUUCAACGGCUCUAUUUUUGGAUUUAGUUCUUGAUAUCAGAAAUUAUUUUUUUAUCCAGCAGGUGCAUAUGCAAGGUGACAAGGACAGAAGAAUAUGUACAUAUGCAAGGUGACAAGGGCAGAAGAACAUGUACAUAUGCAAAGGUGACAAGGACAGGGAGAACUCAAAAGCUGGUAUUAUGUGAGCUAAAAACCGGUGUUCUUUUAAUGCUUCCUUUUUGCUAUGUAAGGUUUUGCAUUGUCUUGGAACCUCCAGUUUAUGUGGAAGCAAGUUAUUAUAGCAGAUGAAGUAAUUUUCGAGAGUGACCUAGCUAUAAAGAUUGCCGAAGUAGACAUAUAGAAGGUGUAUGUCAGCACAAAACUUUGACAAUAUGCAAGGCCAUCGACGAGGUCCCAUUUCUUUCGUCGUCUACCGAUUUUCUUGCACGAUGCAUAUAAUAAUCAAAAUAUUGAGUUUAUCUCGAUUUGUCGCAUGAAGUCUGUACUAUCUGU